rnacentral:rRNA from 1 species
CGCGUGGGAACCUGCCCUGUGGUACGGAAUAACUCCGGGAAACUGGAGCUAAUACCGUAUGCGUCCUUUGGGACAAAGAUUUAUCGCCAUGGGAUGGGCCCGCGUAGGAUUAGCUUGUUGGUGGGGUAACGGCCUACCAAGGCAACGAUCCUUAGCUGGUCUGAGAGGAUGAUCAGCCACACUGGGACUGAGACACGGCCCAGACUCCUACGGGAGGCAGCAGUGGGGAAUAUUGGACAAUGGAGGCAACUCUGAUCCAGCCAUGCCGCGUGAAGGAUGACUGCCCUAUGGGUUGUAAAC